rnacentral:lncRNA from 1 species
GGCCUGGCGCGUCCGCCGAGCGCGGGGGUUUGUUUAUUUUCCCGGUUGGUAGCGGCGCUGGCGCUGGUUAGAGGUUCGCCGGUGACGUGAGCGCCCGAGUUGGGGGAGAGGACCAGAACCACCUGCUGGAGAAAGGGAGCUACGGGGGCCGGGCAGGGUCCAAACGCCUCACGUGGGCGGCGGCGCCACGGUCUUCGGGGUCACAGGGAAGAGAAGGGCUCUCCUCAAGCGGGUGGAAGGAGGGAGGCCUCCCGAGGGAAUGAGACUCCAGGCCACUCCCCCGCAGCAAGGCAGGAUCACCUGCGUCGCGGAGAGCAGUUAGAGGUCCCUGGAGUGGAAAAGGGCAGUGGGACCUGGUAGCUUGGGUUCCCUGCAACUUGGGGUUCGACCUCCAGGCAAUGAAGUAGGGAUGGUCCUGCAAGUCAAGAUUCCAGUAGCAAGAGUGCAUCAGAUCUCUGUAAGGAAAAUAACUAACAUUGCUCAGUUCCCUGUAGAGUUGCAGGGCGCUUUGACGUUAUCUCCCUUGGUUCUCCAUCAGGUCGUAGUGGACUAAUUUUACAGGCGAAGUUAAGUGACUUACCCAAAACCUCACAGCUAAUAAACGGCAGAGCCGGCACCCAGCUGUACUGGCUUCCAGCGCAUCCCAUUAUCUCCAUAAAUCCCCCUGAUUCAACUAAUAUUAGACGCCCCACAGGUAAGAUGCUUCAGAGUUAGAGGGGAGUUGAAGAUACCUUUGCCUUCAAAGAAGUAAGGAAUGAAACAAAGAUAAAACAGACAAUAAAAGACAAACCAUGAUAGGUGCCACGUGAAAAGUGGCAGAGUACUGCCGGGAAUCAAAGAACCGUGUAUAUCUGUCUUGGGGAUAAGGAAAGAAACGCAGCAUGAAGGAGUAGGCAUUUGGGAUUGACCUUGAAGGAGACAGGGAGAGUUUUACAGCAAGAAGGGAUAGCAUGAGAAUAUAUAUGAAGGCGAAUCAGUGAAAGUUGUGUUGGGGAAAGAGCAAAGACUCCAGGUAUGUUGAGAGGUAGAAAAGACAAAGGAGUAUGGGGCCUAAGAUACCAAAUGGAUGAAUUUAUAUUUAAUUCAGUAUUUUGAGUUUUUAUGGUUCAGAAGUUUGGGGGAAGAAAAGGAAGGUUUUUUUUUUCUUUAUGCUAGUGAUUUAUCUGUGAAGGGAAGCAGAAAUCAGAGGUGGAAAAACUGACAGAUCUACUGUAGGCCAGGUAAAAGGUAAUGAUGAGUCUGACCUAAAGGGACAGCCAGGGGAAUUUAAAGAGCAUAGUUGAGAGAUGAUGUGCAUGCAGAAUCUAUAGAAUUUGCUAACUGAUUGAUUAAUUGUGGGUAGGAAGAGAGAAAUCAAAGAAAGUGGAGGUUUUGAGUUUCUAGAUAAUUGCAAGAGAGAAAAGAGACAAUUACAAAGGAAAGGAGAAGGAGCUACUUCUUGAGAGAAGAUCAGUUUAGAUUUAGACAUUUUAAGAAUUCAAAGGGUUGUCAAGACAGCCAGACGGACAUGGACACUAAUAAGUUAGAAAUAAAGGUUUUGUAAUAUGGGAAAGAGGACUGAGCUAGAAAAUAGACUCAUAGAUAAUCAGCCUAGGAGUGAUAUUGCUGUGAGAUAAAAGAAGAAAACAAAGUCAGAAUCUUGGAAAACACCCUCUUCAGAGUCUCGCUGCUCAAAACGUGGUCAGUGGCCCAGCAGCACUGACAUGAGGACCUUAGUUGGAAACUCAGAAUCUCAGGCUCCACCCCAGACCUGCUGAACCAGCAUCUUCAACUUAACAAGAACCCGAAGAGAUUUGUGCCACAUCAAAAAGUUUGAGAAGCUCUGAUCUAGGUGAGCCAAGCCAGCAAAGAAAGGGGGUGGAGCAGAAAAUGGGAGGAGAAUAGGGUAAUGCAGAAUCAUCAAGACAAGGUAAAUUGGACUUUCACAAAAACGGGGCUGGAAGGAGUGUUGCUCAACAAUAUCCAAAACCACAGAGGUUGAAAAGCACAAGGAAAGAAGGUAUGUUUGCACUUUGUGAUUAGGUAGUAGGGUCUUUAAGACCACAUUGUUCUCAUUGAAAGCCUGGGAAGAAAGAUCCCCUUUCUGGUCAAGGUUAGUCUAGGGAUCCAUCCCCUCUUCCCCAGUUCCCACGUAUAUGGGACAUGUCGAGAUAAGUAGAUAGAUUGGACAGUGGGAGAAAGUAGUUCUCUUCCAGUUGCUUCUAUUUUCUCAGCAAAGUGAGGAACAAGAUCAUUUUGGCAGACUGCUAAUUGUCCAUCAUAAUUUAGUCUCCCCUUCUCCCUGAAAACACAGACUGCUUUUCUCAGCCUCUCUUUCAGUUGCAUAUGGUCAAGUAUUAAGUUAUAGAACAUGAGCAGAUGUUAUGUCUGCCACUGUCAGGCCAAGGCGUUUACUUUGAGAGUACUUGUGCCUCUUUCAUACAUUUUCCUUUCUGCCAGCUGGACCCUGGACACGGUGACUCUGAUUCAAUUAUGCAGAUGACCACAAGCCUCUGGGGUUGGCAGAGCCACAAGAAAGAAGGUGCCUGGAUGAAGGAGAGCUACCCACUGACCUGGACACCCAAUUAUGUCAUAGGUGCUGCAAUCUAGAGACAAAAUAUUCCUUACACUGCCAGAUACUUGCAAACUAAGGGGAACGAGCUUCCCUCUGAAUGUUUAUGAAGGAGAGACCACUGUGUCAUCUGUCUUAGAGCUAUUGGAAUCCUGGAUCAUUGUGGGAAAUGAAAAGAACUGGUUUUUAGCAAGGAGACCAAGAAACUCUACUCCCUAGGGGCUAGCAAUGAGAGAAAGGAAGCCUUGAGUCUUUGAGCACAGGGUGACAGUUUGGGUCCUAUGUGAGAUGAUCAAAUCCACAGCAACAGAGGAAAGGACAAAAGGAAAAGAUACUUCGAUGGAAUCAGCAGCCAUUGAUCCAAUGCCAACUCCAAGACUGGAACGUCGCAAUGAUAGUUCCAAGGCGGAAAUUUGACGUAAUUCUUUUCGACACAGUUUUACAGGCAUCUUGCAUGUGAAUAACUCACAACUUUAAUUCAUGGAACAAAUUGAGAAAUAGUCUUUUGGGGGUUUGGUACUCCCUGGAAACAUAAGAGUGCUUUGGGCACCUCUGGUGCCUUUCCAUGCCUGCCUUCUCUGCUGUUCUUGCUACUAGUGAAUUCUAAAUCAUGGCCAAGUGAUGCCAGCACUGGAUAAUAUUGGCUCUGCCCCAUAUCUCGAGGGAAAACUCUGGGACUUGGCAUUAUAUGUGUGGGAAUCUGGCCUUGGUUGGCACUCCCAGCAUGAUAGCAGGGUUCUGCUGUCUGAAUGUACUCUGGGGUGUGCGCCACAAUUUCUGUCAUCGAAAUGGAGAUGAGAGAAUAUGCCCUUGGUGGGGACACCCCACUGGAAUUAGAGUGAAGAGAUCAAAGCUAGAGGUUCUUAAAUCAAAGAAUGUCUAAUAGCAAAGACAAAAACUUGCUUAAGAGAAAUGCAUACAGGUACUAGACCUAAUAUGAUGAAAAAUGCUAACUUCAACAUAUUGAUGCAUGCUUAGUAUACUUUUAGUCCUGCAAAGACAAAA